rnacentral:rRNA from 1 species
AACGAACGCUGGCGGCAUGCCUAACACAUGCAAGUCGAACGAGACCUUCGGGUCUAGUGGCGCACGGGUGCGUAACGCGUGGGAACCUGCCCUUAGGUUCGGAAUAACUCCCCGAAAGGGGUGCUAAUACCGGAUAAUGUCUUCGGACCAAAGAUUUAUCGCCUUUGGAUGGGCCCGCGUUGGAUUAGCUAGUUGGUAGGGUAAAAGCCUACCAAGGCGACGAUCCUUAGCUGGGCGGAGAGGAUGAGCAGCCACACUGGGACUGAGACACGGCCCAGACUCCUACGGGAGGCAGCAGUGGGGAAUAUUGGACAAGGGGCGAAAGCCUGAUCCAGCAAUGCCGCGUGAGUGAUGAAGGCCUUAGGGUUGUAAAGCUCUUUUACCCGGGAUGAUAAUGACAGUACCGGGAGAAUAAGCUCCGGCUAACUCCGUG